CCAAUAGCGUAUAUUAAAGUUGUUGCAGUUAAAAAGCUCGUAGUUGAAUUUCGGGAUCAAUAUUUCGGUCAUGCCGUUGGUAUGCACUGUUAUCAUUGAUUUCUCACCUUCUAAAGAACCGUAAUGCCAUUAAUUUGGUGUUACGGGGAAUUAGGACUGUUACCUUGAAAAAAUUAGAGUGUUUAAAGCAGGCUAACGCUUGAAUACAUUAGCAUGGAAUAAUGAAAUAGGACGCUCGAUCCUAUUUUGUUGGUUUCUAGGAUUGACGUAAUGAUUAAUAGGGAUAGUUGGGUGCAUUAGUAUUCAAUUGUCAGAGGUGAAAUUCUUGGAUUUAUUGAAGACUAACUACUGCGAAAGCAUUUGCCAAGGAUGUUUUCAUUAAUCAAGAACGAAAGUUAGGGGAUCGAAGACGAUCAGAUACCGUCGUAGUCUUAACCAUAAACUAUGCCGACUAGGAAUCAGACGAUGUUAAUUUUUUAAUGACUCGUUUGGCACCUUACG
rnacentral:rRNA from 1 species